AUACGGAGGGUGCAAGCGUUAUUCGGAAUCACUGGGCGUAAAGGGUGCGUAGGCGGUUUGAUAAGUCUGAUGUGAAAUCCUAUGGCUCAACCAUAGAACUGCAUUGGAAACUGUCAGACUAGAAUACUGAAGGUGCAGAUGGAAUUAGUGGUGUAGGGGUAAAAUCCGUAGAUAUCACUAGGAAUACCGAAAGCGAAAGCGAUCUGCUGGGAAGUUAUUGACGCUGAGGCACGAAAGCGUGGGGAGCAAACGGGAUUAGAAACCCUGGUAGUCC
rnacentral:rRNA from 1 species